ensembl:lncRNA
GCCUCUCUCAUCUUUUUAAGUGGGAGAACUUGCACAAUUGGUGGCUGACUAAAUACUUUUUUGCCCCACUGUACAGUACCAGUCAAAAGUGUGGACACACCUACUCAAUCAAUAGUUUUUCUCUAUUUUUACUAUUUUCUACAUUGUAGAAUAACAGUGAGGACAUCAAAACUAUGAAAUGACACAUUUGAAAUCAAGUGGUAACCAAAAAAGUGUUAAACAAAUCAAAAUACACAACCGGUCUGUCACACCCUGAUCUGUUUCACUUGUCUUUGUGCUUUGUGCUUUUUUUGGUUACUACAUGAUUCCAUAUGUGUUAUUUCAAAGUUGUGAUGUCUUCACAAUUAUUCUACAUUGUAGAAGAUAGUAAAAAUAACAGUCAAAAGUUUUGACACGCUGUGUAAAAAUUAUGCCUUUCAAAGUAAAUUAUAUAUUCUGUAUAUUCUGAAAUAUAUUUGACACCUGGGUUUUCACAUGUGCAAAUGUUGUCACAUGUGUAGUGUCAUGGUAUCACAUGUUGAAAUUUUGCAUCCCAAGUUCUCACAUUUAUUUCACAUUGAGAUCAUUUACUCACAUGCCCACAUGUAGUUUGAUAUUAUUGCAUGUUAUCACAUUAACUUCACACAAAUCACGUGUACACAUGAGAAAUUCAUGUGGUUUUUCUGUAAUGGUUUUUAAUCUAGAUGAUAGGAACAAUUUUCAGCAAGUUGCAACAGUGAAAUACAGAAAUAAAAACUUUUCCGUAAACAAGGUCUAAAUAAUGUUUGAUAAACUCUGUAAGUGCAAUUUUUUGCAGAACUGUUUAAUCUAGAUGAUAAGAACACUGUGGACAAUUUUCAGCAAGUUGCAACGUUGAAAUUCAGAAAUAACCCCUUUUCCAUAAACAAGGUCUAAAUCAUGUUUGAUGCACUCAGGAUAUAAAAAAAAAUGUUAUGUUUAAACUAGAUGAUAGGAACACUAUGGACAAUUUUCAGCAAGUUGCAACAUUGAAAUUCAGAAAAAAACACAUUUCCAUAAACAAGGUCUAAAUCGUGUUUGAUGCAUUAAGGAUGUAAAAAUUUUUUGUUCUGUUUAAACAAGAUGAUAGGAACACUGUGGAACAUUUUCUAGAAGUUGCAACAUUGAAAUUCAGAAAUAACCCCUUUUCCACAAAUAAGGUCUAAAUCAUGUUUGAUGCACUCAGGAUGUAAAAAAAUUAUUGUUCUGUAUGAACUAGAUGAUAGAAAAACUGCCGACAAUUUUCAGCAAGUUGCAACGUUGAAAUUCAGAAAUAACCACUUUUCCAUAAACAAGGUCUAAAUCAUGUUUGAUGCACUCAGGAUAUAAAAAAAUGUUAUGUUUAAACUAGAUGAUAGGAACACUAUGGACAAUUUUCAGCAAGUUGCAACAUUGAAAUCCAGAAAAAAAAACAUUUCCAUAAACAAGGCCUAAAUCAUGUUUGAUGCAUUCAGGAUGUAAAAAAAAUAUUGUUCUGUUUAAGCUAGAUGAUCGGAACACUGUGGACAAUUUUUAGCAAGUUGCAAAAUUGAAAUUCGAAAUAAACACAUUUCCAUAAACAAGGUCUAAAUCAUGUUUGAUGCACUCAGGAUGUAAUUUCUUUUGUUCUGAUUAAACUAGAUGAUCGGAACAAUGUGGACAAUUUUCAGCAAGUUGCAAAAUUGAAAUUCGAAAUAAACACUUUUCCAUAAACAAGGUCUAAAUCAUGUUUGAUGCACUCAGGAUG